rnacentral:pre_miRNA from 1 species
GGGGAGAGCACGGGAUCCUGGGCUGUGUCCCCCGGCUCCUGGGCUCCGGGGCCUGCACUGCUGGAAUCGCGCUCCUGGCCGGGCAGCCCCCU